GGGGAAUAUUGCACAAUGGGGGAAACCCUGAUGCAGCGACGCCGCGUGGAGGAAGAAGGUCUUCGGAUUGUAAACUCCUGUUGUUGGGGAAGAUAAUGACGGUACCCAACAAGGAAGUGACGGCUAACUACGUGCCAGCAGCCGCGGUAAAACGUAGGUCACAAGCGUUGUCCGGAAUUACUGGGUGUAAAGGGAGCGCAGGCGGGAAGACAAGUUGGAAGUGAAAUCUAUGGGCUCAACCCAUAAAUUGCUUUCAAAACUGCUGGCCUUGAGUAGUGCAGAGGUAGGUGGAAUUCCCGGUGUAGCGGUGGAAUGCGUAGAUAUCGGGAGGAACACCAGUGGCGAAGGCGACCUACUGGGCACCAACUGACGCUGAGGCUCGAAAGCAUGGGUAGCAAACAGGAUUAGAUACCCUGGUAGUCCAUGCCGUAAACGAUGAUUACUAGGUGUUGGAGGAUUGACCCCUUCAGUGCCGCAGUUAACACAAUAAGUAAUCCACCUGGGGAGUACGACCGCAAGGUUGAAACUCAAAGGAAUUGACGGGGGCCCGCACAAGCAGUGGAGUAUGUGGUUUAAUUCGAAGCAACGCGAAGAACCUUACCAGGUCUUGACAUCCGAUGCAUAGCUUAGAGAUAAGUGAAGUCCUUCGGGACAUCGAGACAGGUGGUGCAUGGUUGUCGUCAGCUCGUGUCGUGAGAUGUUGGGUUAAGUCCCGCAACGAGCGCAACCCUUAUGGUCAGUUACUACGCAAGAGGACUCUGGCCAGACUGCCGUUGACAAAACGGAGGAAGGUGGGGAUGACGUCAAAUCAUCAUGCCCUUUAUGACUUGGGCUACACACGUACUACAAUGGCGUUAAACAAAGAGAAGCAAGACCGCGAGGUGGAGCAAAACUCAGAAACAACGUCCCAGUUCAGACUGCAGGCUGCAACUCGCCUGCACGAAGUCGGAAUUGCUAGUAAUCGUGGAUCAGCAUGCCACGGUGAAUACGUUCCCG
rnacentral:rRNA from 1 species